UAAUACGAACUGCGCGAACGUUAUUCGGAAUCACUGGGCUUACAGGGUGCGUAGGCGGCUCAUCAGGUCCGAUGUGAAAUCCCACGGCUCAACCGUGGAAUGGCAUUGGAAACCGAUGGGCUUGAGUGAGCUAGAGGUACACGGAACUUCCGGUGGAGCGGUGAAAUGUGUUGAGAUCGGAAGGAACACCAGAGGCGAAGGCGGUGUACUGGGGCUUGUCUGACGCUGAGGCACGAAAGCCAGGGGAGCGAACGGGAUUAGAUACCCCGGUAGUCCUGGCUGUAAACGAUCAGUACUAGACGGAGGGGGGCUUGCCCUUCUCGGUCGUAGCGAAAGCGAUAAGUACUGCGCCUGGGGAGUAUGGUCGCAAGGCUG
rnacentral:rRNA from 1 species